rnacentral:tRNA from 1 species
GCUUUGGUGGCGGAAUUGGUAGACGCAAAAUUAACUGCAAUGGAAUGUAACGAAACUCCACACUAAACAACAAAACGUUUCAAGACAGGAGUGUCUUGCGGUUGCAGGUUCGAGUCCUGCCCAAAGCA